rnacentral:rRNA from 1 species
UUGAACGCUGGCGGCAUGCUUUACACAUGCAAGUCGCACGGUAACAGGCCGCGAGGUGCUGACGAGUGGCGAACGGGUGAGUAAUGCAUCGGAACGUGCCCAGUCGUGGGGGAUAACUACUCGAAAGAGUAGCUAAUACCGCAUACGAUCUAUGGAUGAAAGCGGGGGACCGUAAGGCCUCGCGCGAUUGGAGCGGCCGAUGUCAGAUUAGGUAGUUGGUGGGGUAAAGGCUCACCAAGCCAACGAUCUGUAGCUGGUCUGAGAGGACGACCAGCCACACUGGGACUGAGACACGGCCCAGACUCCUACGGGAGGCAGCAGUGGGGAAUUUUGGACAAUGGGCGCAAGCCUGAUCCAGCAAUGCCGCGUGCAGGAAGAAGGCCUUCGGGUUGUAAACUGCUUUUGUACGGAACGAAACGGCUCUGGUUAAUACCCGGGGCUAAUGACGGUACCGUAAGAAUAAGCACCGGCUAACUACGUG